rnacentral:rRNA from 1 species
UACGUAGGGGGCUAGCGUUGUCCGGAAUCAUUGGGCGUAAAGCGCGUGUAGGCGGUCCGGUAAGUCCGCUGUGAAAGUCGGGGGCUCAACCCUCGGAUGCCGGUGGAUACUGUCGGGCUUGAGUACGGAAGAGGCGAGUGGAAUUCCCGGUGUAGCGGUGAAAUGCGCAGAUAUCGGGAGGAACACCAAUGGCGAAGGCAGCUCGCUGGGACGGUACUGACGCUGAGGCGCGAAAGCAUGGGGAGCGAACAGG